UACGUAGGUGGCAAGCGUUGUCCGGAUUUAUUGGGUUUAAAGGGUGCGUAGGCGGCUUUGUAAGUCAGUGGUGAAAUAUGGCAGCUCAACUGUCAGGGUGCCAUUGAUACUGCGGAGCUUGAGUACAGAUGAGGUAGGCGGAAUUGACGGUGUAGCGGUGAAAUGCUUAGAUAUCGUCAAGAACACCGAUAGCGAAGGCAGCUUACUGGGCUGUAACUGACGCUGAGGCACGAAAGUGUGGGGAGCAAACAGG
rnacentral:rRNA from 1 species